GUAGGUGGCAAGCGUUGUCCGGAAUUAUUGGGCGUAAAGCGCGAGCAGGCGGUUCUUUAAGUCUGAUGUGAAAGCCCACGGCUCAACCGUGGAGGGUCAUUGGAAACUGGAGAACUUGAGUACAGAAGAGGAAAGCGGAAUUCCACGUGUAGCGGUGAAAUGCGUAGAGAUGUGGAGGAACACCAGUGGCGAAGGCGGCUUUCUGGUCUGUAACUGACGCUGAGGCGCGAAAGCGUGGGGAGCAAACAGGAUUAGAUACCCUGGUAGUCCACGCCGUAAACGAUGAGUGCUAAGUGUUAGGGGGGUUUCCGCCCCCCUUAGUGCUGCAGCUAACGCAUUAAGCACUCCGCCUGGGAGUACGGCCGCAAGGCUG
rnacentral:rRNA from 1 species